CACAAAAGCACGGGGUGCCUGGUUAAAGCCAAGCUGAGAUAAUACCCGAAACCUGAUUUGGAUAAUGCCAACGUAGGGAUGCAAGCUAAGAUAUUU
rfam:Arenibacter sp. C-21 DNA, contig: C21_contig0020.